GACGAACGCUGGCGGCGUGCCUAAUACAUGCAAGUCGAGCGAAGCGGCGGACGGGUGAGUAUCACGUAAGGAACUACCUAUUAGAGGGGGAUAACUAUUGGAAACGAUAGCUAAUACCGCAUACUAGUAGAUGGACCUGCGUUGUAUUAGCUAGUAGGUAGGGUAAUGGCCUACCUAGGCAACGAUACAUAGCCGACCUGAGAGGGUGAUCGGCCACAAGGGGACUGAGACACGGCCCAGACUCCGACGGGAGGCAGCAGUAGGGAAUCUUCGGCAAUGGGGGGAACCCUGACCGAGCAACGCCGCGUGAGUGAAGAAGGUUUUCGGAUCGUAAAGCUCUGUUGUUAAGGAAGCGGUACUUAACCAGAAAGGGACGGCUAACUACGUGCCAGCAGCCGCGGUAAUAC
rnacentral:rRNA from 1 species